rnacentral:rRNA from 1 species
AUACGGAGGGGGUUAGCGUUGUUCGGAAUUACUGGGCGUAAAGCGCACGUAGGCGGAUUGGAAAGUUGGGGGUGAAAUCCCAGGGCUCAACCCUGAAACUGCCUCCAAAACUAACAGUCUAGGGUUCGAGAGAGGUGAGUGGAAUUCCAAGUGUAGAGGUGAAAUUCGUAGAUAUUCGGAGGAACACCAGUGGCGAAGGCGGCUCACUGGCUCGGUACUGACGCUGAGGUGCGAAAGCGUGGGGAGCAAACAGGAUUAGAAACCCCAGUAGUCC